ensembl:snRNA U6 U6 spliceosomal RNA
AUGCUUGUCUGGCAGCACAUACACAAAAACUAGAAUGAUACAGAGAAGAUUAGCAUGGCCCCUGUGCAAGAAUAACACAAAAAUUCAUGAAGUGUUUUGUAUUUUU